CAGCAGCCGCGGUAAUACGGAGGGGGCGAGCGUUGUCCGAAGUUACUGGGCGUAAAGCGCGCGUAGGCGGGUUGGUAAGUCCGCUGUGAAAGCCCGGAGCUUAACUCCGGAGGGUCGGUGGAUACUGCCAGUCUUGAAGGUGCUAGGGGGAGAUGGAAUUACCGGUGUAGCGGUGAAAUGCGUAGAUAUCGGUAGGAACACCAGUGGCGAAGGCGGUCUCCUGGGGCAUUCUUGACGCUGAGGCGCGAAAGCUGGGGGAGCAAACGGGAUUAGAUACCCCGGUAGUCCCAGCCCUAAACGAUGAAUACUAGGUGUCGGGGGUAUCGACCCCUCCGGUGCCGCCGCUAACGCAGUAAGUAUUCCGCCUGGGGAGUACGGCCGCAAGGUUGAAACUCAAAGGAAUUGACGG
rnacentral:rRNA from 1 species